rnacentral:rRNA from 1 species
AUAACACUUAGAAAUAGGUGCUAAUACCGCAUAAGCGCACAGCUUCGCAUGAAGCAGUGUGAAAAACUCUGGUGGUAUACGAUGGAUCCGCGUCUGAUUAGCUAGUUGGCGGGGUAAAGGCCCACCAAGGCGACGAUCAGUAGCCGGCCUGAGAGGGUGAACGGCCACAUUGGGACUGAGACACGGCCCAAACUCCUACGGGAGGCAGCAGUGGGGAAUAUUGCACAAUGGGGGAAACCCUGAUGCAGCGACGCCGCGUGAGUGAAGAAGUAUUUCGGUACGUAAAGCUCUAUCAGCAGGGAAGAAAAUGACGGUACCUGACUAAGAAGCCCCGGCUAACUACGUGCCAGCAGCCGCGGUAAUACGUAGGGGGCAAGCGUUAUCCGGAUUUACUGGGUGUAAAGGGAGCGUAGACGGCAGCGCAAGUCUGGAGUGAAAUCCCAUGGCUUAACCAUGGAACUGCUUUGGAAACUGUGCAGCUAGAGUGCAGGAGAGGUAGGCGGAAUUCCUAGUGUAGCGGUGAAAUGCGUAGAUAUUAGGAGGAACACCAGUGGCGAAGGCGGCUUACUGGACUGUAACUGACGUUGAGGCUCGAAAGCGUGGGGAGCAAACAGGAUUAGAUACCCUGGUAGUCCACGCUGUAAACGAUGAUUACUGGGUGUUGGGGGACCAAGGUCCUUCGGUG